UACGUAGGGGGCAAGCGUUAUCCGGAUUUACUGGGUGUAAAGGGAGCGUAGACGGCAGCGCAAGUCUGGAGUGAAAUCCCAUGGCUUAACCAUGGAACUGCUUUGGAAACUGUGCAGCUGGAGUGCAGGAGAGGUAAGCGGAAUUCCUGGUGUAGCGGUGAAAUGCGUAGAUAUCAGGAGGAACACCGGUGGCGAAGGCGGCUUACUGGACCAUAACUGACGCUCAGGCACGAAAGCGUGGGUAUCGAACAGG
rnacentral:rRNA from 1 species